AUAAAUUGUACCAGGUAAUUCAUUUUGCCGUUCAGAGAGUCAUUAAGUUCUUCCCAGAAUAUAUGUGAUUGAUAUCCCUGGAGGUGAAAGGCUAAAGGAACCAUAUGGCAACAUGUUGCAUUCCGUAUGCUAUCUGCCCAUCCGUGCUUAAGCUGCCAUUAGCAACAUCUGUACCUUACGGAAAUCCAGCUGCGCCGACGACGGCUGACGGAAUUGUACUUGGGGGGGAAAUCUAGCUUAGCGCCAUUAACUUGAGACUUCGAGUCUAUCUACCAGGACGGAUGGAAGCUUUCACAAUUAGACGAGACGACACAAAUGCUUUAUUAAAGUUUAAUUUUGAACUCCCAAUUAACGAAACUGCAUUACAAAUCGACUGCAAUUUCCUAGAAGGCACAGCAAGUUCUCUGCCUGCCUGCCACGUGCGAGGGGCUCCAGGGCAAGCUUUCUCAGCUCCCGGCAGCAGAAAGGGGACGGUUCAGAGCUUGUCUCCGCAGCCCAGGAAGUCCCUAAAAUCCUCGCCAGCCCCUCCUUCCGCAGGGCGGGGGCCGUACAAGGACAGAACCCGAGGGGAGGGGGGCGGGGGAGUCCUCUAUUAUCUCGGCCUCCCGGGAGGAGCCUCGUCUAGUCAGUUACGCAGAAGUUUCUCUUUCGCUCUUCCCGCCACACACCCAGCUGGGCUUCCUGCGCGCAGGCGAGGGGGGCGAAGGAGCGGGGGAGACAGGAGUCCCGGCGGGGCUGCCCGGCGUUCACACGCACCCCGCUCCCCCUCCCCCACCCCACACAAAGCCCCGCUCCGGGUCCGGAUACGUUACCUGCCCGGCGCUCCCGGCCCCUUGGUCACCGCAUCCCCCGCUGGGCGCGCCUUGUGCGGCUCCCGCUCCCCGGGACGCAUAAAGUGGUGGCCCCUGGCAGGCUACAUCCCCCUCUCUCGUCAUGUUAGGGGGCAAGAGAGGGGAACCAGGGAAAGUGGAAGUGGAGGCUGGGGCAAGAGGAACUUACUGAUGAAAUUUAUAAAAAAAAAAAAAAAGAAAAGAAAAAGGAAAAGCAGCUGGCGGGGCCCGGGUCCUGGCCAGGGGCAGCAAAGGCCCAUCACCUUUCGGGGGUCGCGGGCGGGAGGGCGGGGGGUCGGGCAGCGGCCGCCCGCCCCCCUUCCCCGGCCCCCAGCGGCGGCAGCAGCUGCACACACAGAAGCCCAUUGUCGCCGGCGCCCGGCGCGCAGCCCCGCGGACUCGGCCCCGCGGCCAAGCGCGUCAGCGGCCCCGUCAGCCGGGCCGGGCUCCGUGACGCGCGCGCAGCCCGCGCUAUAAAUAACCCGCCGCCGGGCGGCUCGGGCGGCUUUCCAGUGACGCCGGGGCAGGGCGCGGGAGGAGGAGGAGGGCAGGAGGAAACAAUAAAACCUCCCUCCCGCCUCCCGAGCCUCCUUCCGCCCUCCCUCGGCCGCCCUCGGCCCUUCCCGCCGCGCUCCCCUGCCCCGCCCCGGCCAGCCCUGCGCCG
rnacentral:lncRNA from 1 species